CGCGUGAUUGACAGCGAAGCAAGAGCGAGCAGUGAAAGAUGUGCUUGACGCUGACGUCGACCAGCGAAAUCGCGAGCGUUGGACUCUCGAUGCAUUGGAAAUGGCCGUGUGUUGAGUACAACUAAGACAUGCUCGCCUUCUAAUGUGGAAGAUGAUGAGAGCUGACAGAGAGCGGCGACGAUAGCACAAGCGAAAAUACCAAGACGUCUCAUGUCGAGACGACAGCCCGCAACGCAAGAGACGGAGUUGUGACACGAUAGGCGAGGUCUGACAACGGUGAUGGAUGCUGUACGGAGUGACGUGUGGCAGCUUGGGAAGCAGAAGUGUGAGAAAUAAACGGCGGACUUGCGGCGCGCCUAAUAUUCCGUCAGACUAGCUCGCACUUUGGGCGUGAUACGAGUGUAGAACAGAGUAGGGAUGGUGUGACAUUGCUGGAUUGUGUCAGUCCUGGGAUGGUGUGACAUUGCUGGAUUGUGUCACUCCUGGGAUGGUGUGACAUUGCUGGAUUGUGUCACGUGAAGAAGGGAGUUACUGCACGUGUCGUUUGAAAAUCGCAUUGCAACUGCGGCGUGCUCGUGUGUUUGUCUGUUUGUCUGUUACAGCUGUAUCUACUUGCACUGUGGAUUUUGAAGACAAAAGGGUUUCUACGGGUAAGAACUGAAGCCAUGUUUAUCAGGACUUUAGUUAAAUAUUUAAUAAACUUGUGGAUUUGCAAGAGA